CUACCAUAUUGGAAGUGAGAGUCGGGGCUCCCUUGCAGCUGAGUUGGCCAUAUGACUGACAGCAAGCCCUGGAAUGCAGCCAGAAGUGAUGGAAGCCUCUUUCACACCAUGCUCCUAAAAUAUUCCAAGAAAUUUUCCAAACCCACUCUUUUUAGUCUGUGCAUCUGGAAGUGAAAGUUUUAGAAAGGGUAAAGUCACUUAAUGGAAAGGGCCCAGAUCUAGCCCCUCGGAGCCAAGCUGUUCAACUAGAAAUUCUGCAUUAGUAUUUGCGGGUUGGCCCAACACUCAUGAAAUGCAGAUGUGAAUGAUUUUUGACUGGCAGAUUUCAAAAUGAAUAUGCAGCCACUACAACUUUUAUAUAACUUUAAAAUUCUGGAAGAGGAAUGCAAGACUCUGUCCAAAUUGUGUGUUUGGGGCAAUGAGAAUAUUAUAUGUACAGUCCAAAAUAUAUUUCCAAAUACAGGUAAACAAAGGCUAUUUUGAUUCUGUUUUAAGGUCGCAAAUAGUCUGUCAUGGAGUUUAGAUUGUGAGUCUCCCUGCUAGAAGAUGGGUCGCAAUUGGAAGAGUGCUUUAUAUUCCCCGCGCCACUGCCAAAUGAUCCUAGAGGUUAACAGAAAACAGCAAUGGGGCUUCCAAGGACAAGGACUGAAUUAUAUACUUUGUAAGACUAGGAAUGAAGAGAACAUUGUAUUCUUCAAACAAAGUAACAGCUAGACAGACAGGCAAAAGAACGAAGAAUCUGGCCUCCAAGUAAUCCUUAAUUAUAACCCUGCAACCUAAAAGGACAAGAAUAUAAAGUGGGUCAAGAAGAAAUGCAUGAAUUAUAUAAGUAAAGAAAACUGAAACACAUCUCCGGGCACAAAGCAAGCUAGCUAUAAUUUACUACUAUAAAAUUCAAGAAUUUUGUACCCUAGCUUAUGCCAUUAAUCCAUAAAGAUACCAAAGCCUUCAAUAUAAAAUGACACUAGAAGCUGUAAUUUAAUUAAGGCUGAGGUACUGUAGUUAUUAAUUACAUGUGAAAUAGUAAAUAUUUAAAAUAUUUGAAAAUUGCUCGUAUUUCUUAAAAUUGAGUAAUAUGCUAUAAAUCUCAAAAGGCAGGGUAAUUGCAGUCUCCGUGGCAAGUCUGUUUGUACAGCAAAACCUGUAUAGCAUCUCUGGAGAACUAAGGUAUAAUCUGCAGCUGUGUAAUUGAAGAAGAUCUGACACAUGGAACUAUACAAGUUAUUUUCAACUAGCAGAGCUUAGGAUAUUUUUCUUUCAGAAUAAAAGUGCAGAAUUCUGGAUUAUAAUUCUAUUUCUACCACACUAAAAUAGCUCACAAAUGCUUAUUCUGUGUUAGAAGCAGGCCUUGAAAUGGAUAGUCCAAAUGUGUGGAAUUUCACCACUUUUUGACAAUGUAAUUUUUGAUUAAUUUUCCAACACCAUAAGCAAAAUGCACCUGAACCCAUAUACACAGUGAAUCCUGGGUGGGAAUAUUGAUUUAAAUGUGUGUUUGCAAUAAAUAAACAUCCUGAA
rnacentral:lncRNA from 1 species